UAGCCGUAGUAUGGACUAUAAAAUAUUUCAGACCAUAUUUAUUCGGAAGGAAAUUCACUAUUAUGACAGACCAUAACAUCACUUAUUUACCUUUUCGGAAUGAAAGAUCCAUCAAGUAGGUUAUUAAAAUUUCGACUACUAUUAGAAGAGUAUGAUUUUAACGUCUGUUAUGUGAAAGGAAAAGAUAAUGUAGUCGCAGACGCAUUAUCACGUAUAGUAAUUACUUCUAACGAAUUAAAAGAGAUGAGUAAUCAAAUUAUGACAGUGAUGACGAGAGCACAGGCUAGAAGAAUACAAUCGGAAAAUGUGCAAAAUAAUAUUCCUAGUAUCGACACAAACAAGCGGCCUGAUCAACCGCGUGUUGUAGAGAUAUUAAGGUGGAUGUAAAAUGCAGUAGAAAUGAUGUUAGUAAAAGACGAGGAAGUAAGCAAGUUAGAAAAGAAAGGACAA